UAAAACUCCGUGGAGGCAGGUUAUGUGGCGGCCUCCGGGUCCUGAGCGCUGACUCCAGCUCCGCAACAUGGAAGGCAGAAGACACAUUCCAAGCUAAAGUGGGUUAAGGUGCGGUCUAGCUGAUUGAGAAAGGAACUGAGAACUAAGUGGCUUUCGAUCAUCCGCCGGUGGAGAGGACAAUACCUAGAAAACUGCCUCAUGUGGUCUAAUGGAUCUGGGAUCGUGUGAGAAGCUCUCUGAGUGAGAAAGAAGAACACUGCUCUAUCCGUCAUCAGCUGAGGAUGGUAGAAAAGGAACUGAGGGGGCUCAUGUUGUGCUUACACUGAAGAUGUGAGGAGGGUGACACGGUUGAGGCUGGUCUCUCUGUGGCUGUGGGGGUGGUGGCGGUGGCACAGGCACAGCAGAGGCUGGUCUCCCGGAGGCUGUGAGGGGGUGACAGGGCAGAGGCUG